CCUUACCUGGCCUUGACAUCCAGAGAACUUUCCAGAGAUGGAUUGGUGCCUUCGGGAGCUCUGAGACAGGUGCUGCAUGGCCGUCGUCAGCUCGUGUCGUGAGAUGUUGGGUUAAGUCCCGUAACGAGCGCAACCCCUAUCCCUGGUUGCUAGCAGGUAAUGCUGAGAACUCCAGGGAGACUGCCGGUGACAAACCGGAGGAAGGUGGGGAUGACGUCAGGUCAUCAUGGCCCUUACGGCCAGGGCUACACACGUGCUACAAUGGCGCGUACAGAGGGCUGCCAACUCGCGAGAGCGAGCCAAUCCCUUAAAACGCGUCGUAGUCCGGAUCGGAGUCUGCAACUCGACUCCGUGAAGUCGGAAUCGCUAGUAAUCGCGAAUCAGAAUGUCGCGGUGAAUACGUUCCC
rnacentral:rRNA from 1 species